rfam:Schistosoma haematobium scaffold808_11, whole genome shotgun sequence.
AUCCAUCCGACGUGUCCCAAAUAGGAUAAAACAUGUGUCUUGGAU